rnacentral:snRNA from 1 species
UCAUUGCCAACAAAACAUCUGUCACCCCAUUGAUUGCCAGGAUUGAUUUGGUUGACCCUGCAGGUUAGGCUGGUGUCAACUUCCUCUCUCCCCAUGCAUGUGUGUCCUUCCCAAAGCUGCAUGUUAGGUGAAAGAAGAUGCCCUUCCCUGAGAGAAAGACAUUUCUUCAGCCAACGGUGUAUGAGUAGCUGUCCUCCUGGCUAGAACUUCCAAAAUCGUCCUCAAGGAGCCCUUUUCCUCCUCCUCUCUCUGGGUGACUUGGCUGCCUGUCUCUGAGGCUGGUCACUUAGUCAUGGGAAGGUCGUGUGUGUUUUUUUUC